UACAGAGGGUGCAAGCGUUAAUCGGAUUUACUGGGCGUAAAGGGCGCGUAGGUUGUUAUUUAAGUGAGAUGUGAAAUCCCCGGGCUUAACCUGGGAACUGCAUCUUAUACUGGGUAACUGGAGUGCAAUAGAGGGUAGUGGAAUUUCCGGUGUAGCGGUGAAAUGCGUAGAUAUCGGAAGGAACACCAGUGGCGAAGGCGGCUACCUGGAUUGACACUGACACUGAGGCGCGAGGAGCGUGGGGAGCAAACACGG
rnacentral:rRNA from 1 species